rnacentral:tRNA from 1 species
AUCGGUUUGGUGUUGAUAACAUGUUAGCUUUUCGUGCUAGAGAUGGCUUUAUAUAUAAGUCAAUCGGUA